CCCUGGUUAGCUCAGUUGGUAGAACGCUCCACUGGAAAUGGAGAGGUGUCCCAGGUUGGAUACCCGGACCAGGCA
rfam:Ixodes scapularis strain Wikel colony gcontig_1107729135028, whole genome shotgun sequence.